CAUAAGAUAACAGCAAAAUUCUGAAAAGUCCCUAGGCAUGAGCCAAUCGGGAUUGUAUCCAUACUGAAAUCCCACUAAUGUGGUCACCUUGUGGUUUUUGCCUUUAGUAUCCAUGCAUGCUCAGGAAGAGGUACCUCCUCUAGCCUCCACUGUGUAGGUGUGCUUGAAGAGGUCCCUGCAGCAGCUUGAAUUUCUCCACUAAACCUUGCUUUUGCAUUUCGGUUUUCUAUAAUGUGGCUGCUGGUGAAGUAGAACUAAGACCAACAACAUGUACCCGGGCUGAGUCUGUCUUAGAUGAAUGUCCUUUUAAAACCAACCUCUAUCGAUUUCGCGUAUGUAUUUGAUAGUCACCAAUGGGCAGUCAAGCAUUCAGAGGGUAAAUGGACUUCUGUUUGUACAGGAUAUGUUGAGAGAAUCUUUGAGUGCCAGUCAGGAAAUGCAUAGUAAAGUUAUGAUUCAUAAAUGGAAACUGUUUCACAUGGAGAUAUAUAAAGUCAAACAAAUGUACUAUGGUGCCCUCAGAAGAGGGGUAUGUGCACAAAUGACAGACUUAAGUUUCUAAGUGUGUUUACUAUUGGUCUUUAUACUGAAAGGACAACACCAUUGCAGCACUUUCUAUGAUGAAAGCAUAAGUUUAAUCACAGCAAGAAAAGCUGUGAGGAUCUCCUCGGAAGAAUAGAGCCCAGUAAAAGGCCAAUGCUCUGCAGUGCUGCCCCCAUCCCCGGCCUUCUUCAUGCCUCCCUCUUCUUUCCCAGUGUGCAUAACCUGUACUGCUAGUUGAGCCUUCAAUUUCUGAUUCCACUGAAUGAACUGUUUCCCUCUUCUGCCCUGGCUUCUUCUUCUGCAUCAGCACAACACACCUUGACUAAGUUGCACAGAAAUCCAGGUACAAGUGAAGUGUGCAGCCAUCUCUAUGGAAGAUGAAUCUUCUAUACUGUGUGGGUAAUGGUUUGAGCAGCUAAGGAAUUCUGGCAUGAACCCUGAACAAAUAAAUAUCAUCCAUAACAUAAAGCUACUGCACACAUGGAAACUAGUCCCAGUACAGGAAUUAAUCCUGUUAUUCUUCUAAAGGACAAUAAAAAUAUAACUCAAUACUGGAAAAGGAACGGAAGAGAAAAAACAUGCAGCAAGUUCAAGUCUGAACUGUCCAACUGCCCCUUCAGUGAACAUCCAGAUCACCAGAAGAGAGUAUCCUGCUUUUUCAGGAUUGUCAACACACCCUUCAGUAUGAGUUUGAUUUCCAUAACCUUCAAGUGCAAAAGUAUCUGAGGUUGUGAGAAUGGCUGGGCUGUUUUCACCAUCUUUUACAUGUUUCUUGAAGAACCCCUUAACUCAGAUGGGUCCAACAGCCUCUAGGGAUUUCACUCCAUUGUGAAUUUUGUGCAUUGCUGAGAACUUUCCACUUUUUCUUUUCUUCUCUAUUCCUUCAUCUUCACUAUUGCAAGCUUCACAAGGCUUGCCUUUGCUUUGCUCAAUAAAAAUAGUCAUUGAAUUUUGACUUGAUGCUUUCUCAUAGUGUGUGGUGAAAUGGGAUCAAACAGACAGGACCUGAGGCAACUUACCCACAUUUGUGUGUCAGGCAUGCACCAUUGCCUGUUCAAUUGAACAGGGUUCAGAACAUACAAAGAACAAAAUGUUGUGGCAUUUAUAACCCACAUGCACUUACUUCUGCAGAAUGAGCAGAAGGAAGAACUUUGUUUCUCACCUUGGAACACUUAUGAUCACUUUGAAAAGGACUCAGAAAGUGAAGCAUAUAGUCAUUAUCACAGAUGAUGCAUGUGUCAACUGAGUGUGGAGAGCUAACAUGGUGGAGAGCAUGCUUUGUUUCUCAAAUUGCCACAGGCUUAAGAUAUAACAGUUAAUGCCCUCAUAUGUUUGUGAAAACUUGUAGACAAUUGUGCGCAGUGUAAAGUGUGUAUGUGUGUGUGCGUGUAUGUGUGUUUGAGUGUGUGUGCUUGUGUAGGCAUCCUUGUGUGUAAUUGAUGAGGAAAAUAUUAACCAGCAUUUGAGACAGGGUAAAAGGACUCAGUACCCUGGGCACCCAUCCCAUAAACCCUGGGCCACUGCAGGUGAAAUUUUUUUUUCUUCAUAUGUACUGUCGAGAUUAACAGUGGCUUCUUACUUUUUACAUAAAGACUGAAAUAUGGUAGACGAUCUUUGAUCUCCAUAGGGACAUAUUUGCCAGAUACAAGAACUCAGUGCCAUGAGGCUGCCAGAUACAAUGAUUACCUAAUUUGUUCUAGUAUAAUGAAAAUUUAGGAGUCAGAAAUUGAGAUAAAACCUGAAAUAUCCAGGGAAAGCAGAGCUGACCCUCUCUCCAUGUUUUUCCUGCAUCAUCCACAGUAGAAAAUCUAUGGAAUUACUCUUCCUUUCUUCCUGUACUCUACUGACCCCUCCAAAAUCCUCCAAGAAAUGUAUAGGUAAUACAGUCCUUCAAUCAUAAACUCUGUCCUUUGAUUCAAGGUUGCUUUAUUGACACGGUGGACUGGCUGUAUGGACAAUUUUUCUGAAACAGUGCCACCUCAGUUAUAGGCAACAUUUUAGUGCCCCAUAUGGGAGACUUGACCUAACAUCCUCAUGGUAUUUUUACCAAAGAAGCAAAAAUUCAGUUCACCCCUAAUGGGUAAUUUUUUUUUCUUUCACAGACUAU